CCUACGGGAGGCAGCAGUGAGGAAUAUUGGUCACUGGGCGAGAGCCUGAACCAGCCCAGUCGCGUGAGGGAAGACGGUCCUAUGGAUUGUAAACCUCUUUUGCCGGGGAGCAAAAAGCGGUACGUGUACCGCAUCGAGAGUACCCGGAGAAAAAGCAUCGGCUAACUCCGUGCCAGCAGCCGCGGUAAUACGGGGGAAGCGAGCGUUAUACGGAUUUAUGGGGGUAAAAGGGUGCGCGGGGGGGGAGUUAAGUCAGCGGGAAAAUUUCGGGGCGCAACCCCGGCAAGCCGUUGAAACUGGGUUGCUAGAGUGGGCGAGAGGUAUGCGGAAUGCGUGGUGUAGCGGUGAAAUGCGUAGAUAUCACGCAGAACUCCAGUGGCGAAGGCAGCAUACCGGCGCCCAACUGACGCUCAGGCACGAAAGCGUGGGGAUCGAACAGGAUUAGAUACCCGAGUAGUC
rnacentral:rRNA from 1 species